GACGAACGCUUGCGGCGUGCUUAACACAUGCAAGUCGAACGGAAAGGCCCUGCUUUUGUGGGGUGCUCGAGUGGCGAACGGGUGAGUAACACGUGAGUAACCUGCCCUUGACUUUGGGAUAACUUCAGGAAACUGGGGCUAAUACCGGAUAGGAGCUCCUGCUGCAUGGUGGGGGUUGGAAAGUUUCGGCGGUUGGGGAUGGACUCGCGGCUUAUCAGCUUGUUGGUGGGGUAGUGGCUUACCAAGGCUUUGACGGGUAGCCGGCCUGAGAGGGUGACCGGCCACAUUGGGACUGAGAUACGGCCCAGACUCCUACGGGAGGCAGCAGUGGGGAAUAUUGCACAAUGGGCGGAAGCCUGAUGCAGCAACGCCGCGUGCGGGAUGACGGCCUUCGGGUUGUAAACCGCUUUCGCCUGUGACGAAGCGUGAGUGACGGUAAUGGGUAAAGAAGCACCGGCUAACUACGUGCCAGCAGCCGCGGUGAUACGUAGGGUGCGAGCGUUGUCCGGAUUUAUUGGGCGUAAAGGGCUCGUAGGUGGUUGAUCGCGUCGGAAGUGUAAUCUUGGGGCUUAACCCUGAGCGUGCUUUCGAUACGGGUUGACUUGAGGAAGGUAGGGGAGAAUGGAAUUCCUGGUGGAGCGGUGGAAUGCGCAGAUAUCAGGAGGAACACCAGUGGCGAAGGCGGUUCUCUGGGCCUUUCCUGACGCUGAGGAGCGAAAGCGUGGGGAGCGAACAGGCUUAGAUACCCUGGUAGUCCACGCUGUAAACGGUGGGUACUAGGUGUGGGGUCCAUUCCACGGGUUCCGUGCCGUAGCUAACGCUUUAAGUACCCCGCCUGGGGAGUACGGCCGCAAGGCUAAAACUCAAAGGAAUUGACGGGGCCCCGCACAAGCGGCGGAGCAUGCGGAUUAAUUCGAUGCAACGCGUAGAACCUUACCUGGGUUUGACAUGGAUCGGGAGUGCUCAGAGAUGGGUGUGCCUCUUUUGGGGUCGGUUCACAGGUGGUGCAUGGCUGUCGUCAGCUCGUGUCGUGAGAUGUUGGGUUAAGUCCCGCAACGAGCGCAACCCUUGUUCACUGUUGCCAGCACGUUAUGGUGGGGACUCAGUGGAGACCGCCGGGGUCAACUCGGAGGAAGGUGGGGAUGACGUCAAGUCACCAUGCCCCUUAUGUCCAGGGCUUCACGCAUGCUACAAUGGCUGGUACAGAGAGUGGCGAGCCUGUGAGGGUGAGCGAAUCUCGGAAAGCCGGUCUCAGUUCGGAUUGGGGUCUGCAACUCGACCUCAUGAAGUCGGAGUCGCUAGUAAUCGCAGAUCAGCAACGCUGCGGUGAAUACGUUCCCGGG
rnacentral:rRNA from 1 species